rnacentral:lncRNA from 1 species
CUCUCCCUUCUCAAGGAAGAAAAUAUCAGUUAUUAUCUAUUGAUUGCAAAUUAUUAUUUCAAUCUCCUUGCACUUUUAGGGGAAGAAAACAUUAGUUAAUGUAUUAUAUUAUUUAUAAUUUAAUAUAUUAUAGUGUUUAUAAAUUGUUGAUGUCAAGCAAAUCAAAAAUUUAUCUAAAUUAGUGUCUACCUCAUCAUCUUUGAG